AAAAAACCAAGAAAAAUACAAUUACUUUUAUAGCAAUUUAUAAUGCUUCUGAAGAGUAAAGGUAUCAUAAAGACAUGUCUGAUAAUGCCGGUAUGGGUUCAAAUACUCAAAUUCCCAUUUAACAAGGGGACCCUGUACUGCUAAAUAUACUACAUGCGAGCCAUGUCAACCAACCAGAUAUAAAGGCGUGGCAAGAGAAUGAAGUGGGUGGUUAUCCCAGGAGCA
rnacentral:lncRNA from 1 species